rnacentral:rRNA from 1 species
GGAAACGAAGAAUAAUACCCUAUAAAACCAUAAAAGCACAUGCUAGAAUGGUCAAAGUGAUAGCGGUGUAAGAUGGACUUGCGUCUGAUUAGCUAGUUGGUGAGAUAAAAGCUCACCAAGGCAACGAUCAGUAGCCGGCUUGAGAGAGUGUACGGCCACAUUGGGACUGAGACACGGCCCAG